CCUACGGGAGGCAGCAGUGAGGAAUAUUGGUCAAUGGGCUUACGCCUGAACCAGCCAAGUCGCGUGAGGGAUGACGGCCCUAUGGGUUGUAAACUUCUUUUGUCAGGGAGCAACGCCGGCUACGUGUAGCCGGAGUGAGAGUACCUGAAGAAAAAGCAUCGGCUAACUCCGUGCCAGCAGCCGCGGUAAUACGGAGGAUGCGAGCGUUAUCCGGAUUUAUUGGGUUUAAAGGGUGCGUAGGCGGAAUAUCAAGUCAGCGGUAAAAUUGCGGGGCUCAACCCCGCUCUGCCGUUGAAACUGGCGUUCUUGAGUGGGCGAGAAGUAUGCGGAAUGCGUGGUGUAGCGGUGAAAUGCAUAGAUAUCACGCAGAACUCCGAUUGCGAAGGCAGCUUACCA
rnacentral:rRNA from 1 species